GCCUCUGGAGAAUCCCAAGCGAUUGGGUGCCGAAGGGGCAAGGCGGCCGCCCGGCCAGCCGAAACUCUCAGGCCAAAGGACAGAGC
rnacentral:ncRNA from 1 species